AAAACAUGGAUUAGAUACCCGUCUAUUCAUGAUAUAAAUAAAAUCAGUCGAAUAUUACGAACCACAGUUUAAAAUUCAAAGACUUUGGCGGUGUCUUAUAAAACCAGGGGAACCUGUCUCAUAACUCGAUAAUCCACGACCACCCAACCUCUUUUAGAAACCAGCUUGUGUACUGCCGUUGUAAGCACACCUCUAAAAGGACCAGUGUGCCACUAUAACUACACCCCGUAACUUAUAUACAUCAGGUCAAAGUGCAGCCCAUAAAGAGGUGAUGAUGGGUUACAACCAUGAUACUGAACACGAAUUAGUGUAUAAAAAACACUAUGAAGGUGGACUUGGAUGUAAUUAAAUAAAUAAUAACCAAAUAAAUCCCAAUCUAAGACAUGCACACAUCGCCCUCACUCACCGACGCCCGU
rnacentral:rRNA from 1 species